UGUAAUUUAUUCUUUUUUUUUUAGAGAAAGGUAGCAUGCUACCCAUUUCGUUUAGGGCAUGUUUGUUUCAACGUAAGUAGACUUGGGGUGGAAGUGGACUUUAAGUUGAAGUGGAGUUGGGGUGAAAAUUAGUUCACUUAUGCUGUUUAUUUUUAACUGUGGAAGUACAGUUCUGCGAUUUCUGUUGUUUGUUUGGUAGGAAGUAGAUGACGUAAAAAGUGUAGCUCUCCACCCCCGAUAUACUUUCCUCUAAAGUGAUAUCAUUGUCUAUUUUGUAACUUACAGUGAAUAAUAAAUUAUAAUAAAUAAAAUUAAUAUAAUUAUAUAUGUAUAUAAUUAUAUAUAUGUAUAAUUAUAAAAUAAAAUUUUAAAAAAUUAUAUUAUUUGUUUGCAUAUAAAUUAUAAUAAUGCAACAAAUAAAAUUCUAAAGUUAAACAAUUAUUAACAUUUAACAAAUUCAUUUUUCAUCAUUUUCUAAAUAUACAAAUUAAACAAAAAAUAUAUUAAAGCUUACCUAAUCAAAUUUGAUCAUAUUUUAGAAGAGAUAACCCUAACACAUUAAUCCAUUCUUACAUUUUUUUUCACUUCACCGGAAUUGACUUCGCCCCAUGGGAGGGCGAAGUCAAGUUCAUUAUUUUAGGUGAACUGGACUUUCGGACGUAAUAAAAUAACAGUGAACCAAACAGCGGAAGUGGUCAGUUUUCACCGAAAAUCACUUCCCCCGUCCCACUUCCACCCCACUUUCCUCGAAACAAACAGGCCCUUAUUUCAUUUAGAAAUAAACUUAGCUGGAAAUGUGAAUCAAUUAUGAUUCGAACUUGAAUCUCCGGUACCAACCACCAAGCCCUUUUGCCACUUGCGCUAGGAAUGAUCGGUCGUGCAAUUUAUUCUUAAACUUUCGGUUCUCAAAUUAUGUGGUGCGUGAUAUUUUAGUACUUGAAUUUUAAUUUAUUAUAAUUUUUAACUUAAACUUUUUAAAUUUUUACAAUUAAGUCCCACAACUCAAUUUAGUUAACUACAUAUUUAGUAACAAACUAUUGAUAUGGAAGUAUUGUAAUUGAUGAUGCGAAAGUAAUUAAAAUGCUAGUCACUUCUGCACUUCUACAUUAAUAAUUUGUUAAAAUUUAGUAAACGGAAUUGUAUUGUGAAAUUUGAUUACAACAAUUUAAAAAGUUCAAAUUAAAAAUUAGAAUUAAUUAAAGUUUGAAAACAAAAAAAUAUAAUUUAUUGUAAAGCCGAGGGGAUUCGCGCGGGCAGACAGAAAAAGUUAAGGGAAAAAAAAUAGAAAACAUAAAUUUAUGCCAUUACAUACCAAAAGGAAUGUUUGGAACUUUGAAUCUCUCGAAACUGGGAGGAACUAGCUAGAACUUGUUAUGUUAUAUAAAUGAUCGAGCUAAUGAAAACUAAUCAAAAAAAAAAAAUUUAUAUUGAUAUACUAAUAUAUGCAGCAUGAGCGAACACAUUUGCAAUAACAGAAAAUAGUCAAGGCAAAUUUUUUUGGCCAAUUUGCAUAAAAAUAUCUACCAGCUUUGCGUUUUUAUAAAAAUGGAUCAUUAUUUUAGAUUUUGCAUCCGAAUUUUUAGUAAAUUGAACAAAAUACUUUUGUUCCUUUUUCUCUCUUCUUUUGUUUGCUCGUUCAUUCUUCUCCUUUUGCAGUCGGUUCGUCUCCCUCUUUGUUGUUUCUUCCUCUCAUUUUCCUCCUGCUUCCUCUUCUUUCAUCUUUUCUACUGCCUCCAUAUCGAUGUCACGCUCCACUCUGUUAUCUCACCCACACCUCAGCUGAUGCUGGUUCGGAUAUGGUAUAGAUCGUGGAGGUUAGAUUGUGGUGGAGCGCAUGACCACAGACGGUGAAGAGGGAGCUUCGGGAUUUGCGGACGACAGAGAGGAAGAGUGCGUUGGACGGUGGCGAUGGCUGCAACAGAGUGCGAGGGACCUGCAUGAUAGUGAAAAAGGAUGCAGAGGGUAGGAGAAAUUAAAAAAAAGGCAUUAAAAAUUAAAAAUAAUGAAAACAUAUUUUUUUUUCUUGGAAAGAUCAUUAUGCAUCGUGGCUACCACAGGAAAGACUAAGAAACAAAGAAGAAAAAAAAAAAUGAUGAAGUUGUAUUGUUUGAGGUGAAACUUGCACUUUUGAGGUGAAAAUUAUACUAUUUGAAAUAAAAGUUAUAUUGUUUGAGAGAAAAGUUGCACUUUUGAGUCAAAUAUUUAUAUUGUUUGGGACGAAAUUUUCACUCUUUCAUAUAAAAAUUACACUAUUUGAAAUUAUUUGAGACUAAGUUACAAUACAUAAAACAGAAGUUACACUCCUUUAAGCGAAUGUUGCACUAUUUAAAAUUAUUGAGGCAUAAUAACACAAUGCUUUCCAAAAAAACACAUUGGUGGCACAAUAAUAACAUAGUGCUUUCAUGCUUAAAAUUUCCAACCACAGCAAUAUAGGAAAUUGCGGCAAACUGAGGGCCCAAAAGGCACAAAAAUCACAAAAAUAUGGAGCAAAUCGAAGAGAAGAGUGAAAACGUAGACACUCCUAUUUAUAACAAAUCAGGCAUCCUAAUGAGAAGGAAAGCGAACACUUUAAGGAGAAGAACGAAGAGAGAAAACCAUAGGGUCAAAUCAGGAGCCUGUAUAGCCUGUCAGGCCCCGUCACAUCCUCCCAGUCAUCUACAUUAGCGGCCAUGUUUCACGCCGGCUCGGCGAGUUGCAGUAGGGCAUGUCGACAUUCGAGAAUAGGCCCACCAUCCUAGGCAACAAAGAACACCACAGAAAAACCUAAGGUAGCGCUUGGUUGGGGAACAAGGGGGGAAUAAGCCCUUGUUCCCCCCUUUUUUCCCAAACGGUAUCUUUGGCUCCCGGGAACAGUAGUUCCCGGGAAUCUGGAACUAGCUGGUAUAAGACUGGAACUGCUGUUCCAUCCGUUUUUUGGAACAAGCUUGUUCAUUGAUGAGAACAUGAUUAAUUAAAAUCUAAAUUUAAUUUUAAUGGCAGUAAAUUAUUAAUUAAUCUAAUUAAUAUAUUUAAAUUAUUAUUUAUUACUUAAAUAAUAAAAUAAUUAAUUAAUUUAUUAUUUAUAAUUAAUUAUUAAUAAUUAGAUAAUUAUUAUUAUUAAUUAUUAUUUAUAAUUAAUUAUUAAUAAUUAAUAUAAUUAUUAAUUUUUAUUAAUAAUUAUUAAUAAUUAUUAUUGUUAAUGAUAUCGAUAUUAUUAUUAAUAUAUUAUUUAUAAUUAAUAAUUAAUAUUAUAUUAUUAUUUAUUAAUAAUUAAUUAAUUAUUAUUAUUCUUAAUAAUUAGAUAAUCGAUGUUAUUAUUAAUUUAUUAUUUAUAAUUAUUAUUAAUAAUUAUUAUUUUUAUUUAUUAAUAAAUAUUAAUAUUAAUUAUUAAUAAUUAGAUAAUCAAUAUAUUUAAUAAUUUAUUAUUUAUAAAUUAAUUAAUAAGAAAUAAUUAAUAAUAUUAUUAUUUAUUAAUUAAUAAUAUAAUAAUAAUAAUUAAUAAUAAAUAAAAAAAUUAUUAAUUAGAUAAUCGUUAUUAAUAAUUUAUUAUUUAUAAUUAAUUAUUAUUAAUAAUUAUUAUUUAUAAUUAAUUAUUAAUAAUUAAUUUUUUAUUUAUUUUUAAGUAAUAUUUUUAUGUUAAUUAAUUACAUAAUAUAAUUUUAAUUUCAAAUUAUAACGUUUAUUCCUCUUGUUCCAAUCUAAUCAUCCAAACACUAUUUACCUUAUUCCUAGAAACAACCUAAUUUUCAUCCAAACGCAAAAUUGGUCUAGCUCCUACUUAUACCUGAACUUAUACCUAUCCCUAAAACUAGCAGUUCUUAUUUAUACCCGAACCAAACGCAGCCUAAGAAAAGGGAAAGAGGUGGAGCACACAAACUAGAGGCCAUAGCCCGCGGGAUGCGAAGAAGCCUUAGGGAGGCUCCAAAGAUUGCCAAUUCAUAAAUGGCCAACAGCACAAUAAACCUCACGUUCCGUGGGAUGCAGAGAAGCCUCAUAGGGUCUAAAGGUUGUCAAUUCAUAAGUUUAUAAAUUAUAAAAGAUAUAAAAUAUUUGUUCUACACCAAGUACAAUUUGUUUUGUGCUCAUUGCUUCAAUUCUUCAUGCUUUCGAGAAUGGCCAAACUCGUCGAACUUAUGUCUAGCCAUCUACCAAUUUUGAUCAUGUAAAACCCAUGUAACCCAGCUUGAUUCGAUCCAACUCGUGUUCAGCUCAACUCAACCAAAUUUUAGCUCAAUCCGAGGUCAACUUCCGUUGGAUCGUAGAAAUGGAGGUUUUAACUUUUUUCUUGAGUUGGAUUAGGGUUAGCCCUUUGAUUACCAUUUUGAAGUGAAACCAAGUUCAUAACGAAUUGGUGAUUAAUGUGAAGGUUAAUUCGUUGAGAAAACUUAGAACCUUGGAUAAUUAGGCGGGAUUGCUUGUGCUAAUUUAAAUGGACAAAAAUUGAAUGGCCUAAAGAAAUUUCUAUUGAAUUAUAUCAAAGAAUUUAUCGUUUAAAUUACAGCAGAUAUGAAAAUAUAAUCAAUGAUAGUAUCGAUCGGAUGGUAUCCAAAUCGAGUCGACAUAUGUGAUUCAAUGUGUUGUGUUCAUUUUUGCGUCUAUUUUCUUGUGCUUCGACUAGGUUCUCACUAUGCAAACUUAAAAGUUAUCACAAACAGGAAAUUCUUUGCCUUCUUUUACAUCUGUUCUAUGUGAUGAUCCAAUCAAAAGAUUCGGUUUCUGUUGAUAUAAGAACAUAUAAAGAAACAAGGAUAAUCCGCAAAGGACUAUAUUAGUAGUGAAAUAGCAGUUAUAUUAGCAGGUUAAUCAAAAGUAUACACUCAUGCAAUGCUGCAAAAAGUAAGAGCUAUUUACUGCAACUUUGCAAAUAAAAUUGAUGCUUCUGUAUCCUUUAUCAGUCAAGUUCAAUUAAAACUUUCAAUAUGUUUUGAGUUUUACAGUGCUAACAGGAUCAUUUACAUCGUUUAUGAAUCAAUUUAAUCAAACCCCAAUGCGAUAAACCACAAUUUUCACAAGAUUUUAGAACAUUAAAAGAAGAAUAAACAUGGUAGAUCUAACUGCAAAUGUAGAACAAGCCUAAUUAGCAUCUGCAGUAAUCUCCAUGCUUUAACGAAUUUGAUCUAAGGUGAAUAGAUAUGUGUAGAAGCUAGUAAAAGUCGCAUUUAAAUCAUUUUGAUCGUAUCGUCUCGAGAUCUCGACUGUCGAGAAGCAUAAACUGAAAUACAGUUUACAGAAGAUCAAAUAGAGGAAAAAGGGAACGAUGUCGUGUUCCCUCUUCAAGCUACAUGAGAGAGUAUCUGCGAACUAUUUUUGUGUUUGCUUAACAAUUUAACUUAACACCACUCAAAACCAAUAUUUUCCACAUGUGGUAGAGUUUUUCAACUCAUACACAAUUUUUUAGAAUGAAUUUGUGUUUGAACUUCAAUAGGAGAAUUUGAAGCAUGUGUACCAAACUAAAUAGUUUGUGUCACUUCGACGAUAUUCGAACGGCGAUUAUUCACCCAUUUCUUAUCAGAUUUUCGAAAUUCAAAAUCGUACUAUUAGAUCUUCUCUCUUUCUAUCAUUUGAGAUCAAUAAAUCAAAAAAAAGUGCUCAAAGGAACCUUCAAAAAGGCUAAAGUUCUCACCGAACUCACACAAUAGCCUGGUGCAUGACCAUUGCAGCUUUAAAUUUGAAUUUCUCAUGAAAUAUUAGGCCAACUUAAAUGAUUUUACUCUCAUUUUAAAGCUAAGUUCCUUAGCUUCAAUUUGAUUCAAAUUUCGUUUAAAUCCGUAAGCUGAAUCUCAAGCUAUUGAGACAUGAAUUUGAGGGGAAAACACAAUGAAACUAUAAAGGCCUGUUUCCUCUCGUGCUAAGCUGAUUCGCCAAUCCGCAUUCCAACCAUUUAACCGCUUUCGACCGUUGAUGCUCGGUUAGAUCCAAAGGUCGAAUUUAAAAAAUAGACGGAUGAGGAUCCGAGGGCAGGGGCGGUGUACCAAUCAGAACCCGCCACGCGUCCCAGCGCUCACCGUCGCUCCCUAUUUAAACCCGUUUCGUAUCUUCUUCUCCGUCGUAGUCGACCUCCGACCCUCGCUAUCGCAUUCCCCUUCACGAAGCCCCAACCCUAACCCUAAGCCUAACCCCAUCUCUUAGCUGCUCCGACCGAUCCCCUUCCAUGGCGACGGAGGAGGCGACGAGCGGCGGCGGCGGCACCGCCCCCGCGGCGGAGCCCGCCGCCGAGAACCAUGCUCCGGCGGAGGGGACGGCCACGGCCAAUCCGAAGAAGCAGCGCGCCCCGAAGGAGCCCAAGGAGAAGAAGCCGCGGAAGCCCCGGUCCCCUCCCUCCCAUCCCCCGUACAUCGAGGUGAGCAUCGCAUUGAAUGGAAUCUUAGCUUCGUUUCCUCUGUUGUGUGGUUUUGGGAUGUGAAAUCGGGAUCCGAGUAAAACCCUAACGUUUGACCCUAACCCUAACCCUAACCCUAAACGCAGAUGAUCGGGGAGGCGAUCACCGCAUUGAAGGAGAGGACGGGGUCGAGCCAGUACGCGAUCACGAAGUACAUAGAGGAGAAGCACAAGGAUCAUGUACCCCCCAACUUCAAGAAGCUCCUCCUCUUCCACCUCAAGAAGCUCACCGCGAGCGGUAAGCUCACCAAGGUCAAGAACUCCUACAAGCUCCCCCCGCUCCGCCCCCGCGCUCCCGAAGCGAAGCCGAAGCCGAAGCCAAAGCCAAAGCCAAAGGCAGCCGCGGCCAAGCCGAAGCCGAAGCCGAAGCCAAAAGCGGCUGCUGCCAAGCCUAAGCCCAAGCCCAAGCCAAAAGCAGCUGUGGCUAAACCGAGCACGAAGCCGAAGCCAAAAGCAGCUGCGCCGAAGCCGAAGCCGAAGCCGAAGCCUAAAGCGCUGAAGCCAAAAGCAACUGCGGCGAAGCCGAAGCUGAGGACGAAGGCGUCGCCGGGGAAGAAGAGGGUGGCGCCGAAGAGGGCGCCGGCGCCGGCGCCGGCGAAGAAGGCGAAGGUGGCGAGGAAGGGGAAAUAGGUGUAGUUUUCUCUUCUUCUUUUUUUUUUUUUUUUUUUAAAUUUCUCUUCCGGUUGGUUUAGUUAGAGUGGCAGUGUUUGUAAAUUUAGUAGUCGUGAGAUGGUGCAUGCAUCUUCGAGUUGUUUGAGUGGGAAAAGAAAAGUUUAUAAGAAUUUAGUCUCCUACUUUUUCAUUGUAUGUUUCUUCUAUUGAAAGUGGAGGGGAUGGUAACUGAUCAUUACUUAUUUUUCUCGGUUUAGAUUCAGGGCUGUUAAUUCAGCUUUCGCUGUUUAUGAGUUAGCUUGUAAGAUUUAAGAUAAACUUGAGGUGGCUUGCUCGGCUAAUAANAUAUAUAUUAAUUUUAAUCAAUUUAAAUGUAAAAAAAAUUAUAUUUUAUGAAUUUUAAUUUCUAGAUUAGAAUUUUAAUUUUUUAAUUUUUCUUUUAACUUUUCACCUAGUAGGAGGGUUGCUGCUUGUGAGCUUGCUUGUGAGCUAGUUUGUGUCGGCUUAUUUAUUAAACGAGUCUAGUUUGUGUCGGCUUAUUUAUUAAACGAGUCGAAUGAGAAUUGGCUCUAUUUUGCUUGUGUUUGUUGACAAUUCUAAUUAAAUUAUUGUAAAUUGCCUCGGCGAAUUUGCAUAAGAAAAUCAAUUAAUUUUGUAUUUUUGCAAAAAAAAAAAUAUUAAUUUUUUCGUUUUUGUCGAUUCAAUCUGAAUUAUUAAUAAAUUGAUUAAAUUAUUAUUAUUAUUUUUUUAAUUUUCAUGUUUCUCUUCCUUCCACUCUUUUCUGUUUUUUUUUUCUUUAUUAUUUUUUUUUCCUGUUUCUUCUCUCUCUUCGCCUCUUCAAUAUAUAGGGGAGGAGGGAUAAGAAGUGGGAAAAAAAAGAAAGAGAAUAGAGAUAUUUUCAUUACUUUCAUAAAAAUUUAGUGAGAAUUUAUAAAGUUUGAAAAUAUAGGCUGAUUUUGCAUUGCAAAUAUGCAAAAUUGAUAAGUUUUUUAUACAAAAAAGGCCACUUAAAUUUGCCAGUAGCUAAAAUCUUUUUAAUUAAUUUUUUUUUAUGGUGCUAAAGUUAAUUAAAAUAAUAACAACUGAAAUUUACUGUUAUAUUUUCUUUAUUCAUUUAUGUGUUAGUCUAACAAAUUUAAUAAAAUAAAAAAAAAGUAGAAUAAUCAUAUGUACUGUAUUUGACUAAAAGCAUAACAUUUGGUACCGAUGUUUUCAGUUUGAAGUCCAGAUGCUUUGUAUUUUUAGUUGAAUUUAUUUCUAAAAUAGUGAAGUGGCAAAUUUUGCUUUUUUCUCUCAAACAAAAUGACAAAAAUAGUAAAUUUGUUUACUUAAAUUUUAGUUUUAAAAAAAUAUUCUUGAACUUUGUAAGCAAUGAGAAAAACAAUUUCUGAUUUUUGAAAAUCCAAAAUAAGCAGAUUUGUUUUGAAAUAUAUUGUGAAUCUAACCUGUUUUGGAAAAUUUCACUUCAUUUAUGCGGAAUUUUUUUAAUGUAAAUUGUUCACAAUUAUUAUAAAAAUUAAGUUUGUUUAGGGAUAUUUCAAUUUUACAUCAUCACUCCCCUUUACAUUCCCAUAAAAAGGGCAGAGCAGAGAAAAUAUCUUUAAUUGUAACAGUCGUACUAUACAAACCAACCAAACUGUGCCGUAUAAUCAUAACUAAUAUACACCUGUGCUUUGCAGUGGGUCGAUAGUAUUUCAAAUAAUUAAUAUAUAUAAUUAUUUAAAUUUUAAAAUUAAAAAAUAUAAAAAAUUUAUAUAGUCUUUUAUAUAUUACUAGUUGAUUGUACAUACAAAUACACAUAACAAUUAUUUUAAUUUAUUUUAAAACCACUAUUAAAUAUUUUCAAUAUGCGUUAUAUAUUUUUAUACAGAUCCGAUGUAUCUAAAAUCUUUAUUAGAUAUGUAGAAAGUAUUUAUUCAACCUUGCCUCAAGUGGAGACGUGGCUCAUUGAGAAGUUGCUUUUAUGAUGUGAUGAACUGUCAAAUUAUAUAAUCUUAUCUUAUAGAUUAUAGAUUACCAGUUUACACACUACCUUUUUUAGAUAUUUGGUAUUAAAUCAGAUAUUAAAAUAGCCUUUUGUUAAUAAGCAAAUAUGAGAUUUAGUCUAAGCUAUUUUUCAUAUUGGAAGAUUCUUGCUUUAAGGAGCAUGAACAAAUAUAUAGAUAUAUAUAUAUAUAUAUAUGCAAUAAUUCCACCAGUUUUUGAUAUAUAUUGUUUUAUUGUAAUAUAAAAUUCUUCUUAUAUUUUAAAAAAUUAGAACUUUCACAGAAAUAAUAUAUAAAAAUUUAACUUUAUAAAAACAUAUUUAUAAUUUACUAUAUUUGUAGAAAUCUAUAUGCAUUUAACUCUUUCCUUUAAUUUAUGUCUUUUAUUUAUGGUGCAACUGGUCAUUAAUUUUAGCUACACUACUUUGUUGUAUUCUUUGCCCUUAAUUGCACUUUUCCCUGCCUCUCUGGCUCGCUGCAAUUUUGGUUUUCACCACAGUAUCCGCCUGUCAGCCACUUUUCCUGUUUCAAAAUCUUAUCAAACAUUGCAGUCUGCUUUCACACCCAUCGAAUUCUUGAUCUUGAGCCAGCCUGCUUUUCGUCGCAGCAAAUUCUCCAUCUUGGGGUCUUGACAGUUACUCAGCCGCGGCAGACGUUAAAAUUCUUGGUGAAAUUGCGGGGGCUGCAAGCCAAAUUUCGGCCGUCGAAUCGUAGACGACAUGUUAAAGUACGAUUCAACACCGAGGCUCUCGAUGAUCGAAGAUACAAAAGCUCAAGUGACAGUUGAUCAGCGUGUUCGUGACAUUGUUUUACGUGUUAGUCUCGUUAGCUAGAUCGUCCUAUCAUUUCGAUUCAUUUUUGAAAAGCUUUUAUUGAUUCAAUUCCUAAAGGCUAAGGAUUAAUGUCUCGUUUGUCCCUUUCCGAUCAUCUCACUUUGCUCAUUCCACUUUCAUAGAUUCGCUUGGUUCGUCGAAACCGUUUGAGAGUCAAAGAAGAUCGAUUGCUCUUCGACAUUUUGAACUCAUUGGGGUACUGUAAAGGAGAGCGAUCGAUUUGUCGGGGACUCUUUCCUUUGAUCAUCCCCUUCCUCGACUUUUCGGAGCAUGCUUUGAUGCCAAAUAUCCUAUUUUGAAGCUUUGUUUCGUCAUUUGUCAAAUGUUCAUAUCGAUUUUGAUGGUUAUGCACUAUUUUCGGGUCUUUUGCGUCGCAGCCCGAUAUCGGCUAGUAACUUGAAUAUGAAGUAUAGCAUAUUAGAGAUGAUGGUGCUUCUGCUAUCUACAAGUGCAUUGAUGCGACUACGUAGUCACAUAUCUAUGUUAGCAAUCGUCACCGAUAGUCGAAUACUACGACUUACAUUCGAGCUAAAGAUGUGGUAGAGUCGUCUCCCCCUCGAUGUUUCGUGAUAUGUUUUAACAAUUUUUGCACACCUUGAUGUCCUUCAAAUGCUUGUAUACUCAACACUUAGAAAUGAAUAUAUUUAGAAUCUGUCUCUCUCUCUCUCUCUUUUGUUUUUUUGUUUUUUUAAAAAAACUUUUGAUGUAGAAUUCAGUGAAAAUGCAAAUCUAAUCCCUUCGACGGAAACGUGUAGCGCCUUUUUUGAUCUCGCGCUUGGUCGAUCCGGGAUCGACGGGGUUGAUCAAUGCGGGCUCUCUAAAUGUCGUUGAAGGUCCUCUAGUGACCAAACUCGUAGUAGACCGAGUUAAGAACGAGCUAGGUCUUGGUUCUACCUUUCAAGUCCCUCCAGAAUCCAACAGUAAGAACGGAAAUGAACCGCUUUUGGAUCGAGCCUGCCCAUGAGUGCAUCUAAUUCGGUCUAACCAAAUCCCAACAUUCGAAAAGAGAAAUCUCUCUUUUAUAUGUUCGGUAUCUCGAUCGCAUCAGCUUAAUUUGUUUAAGGUUUCCCAAUGAUUGCUUUUCUAAUUUUGAGUGCAACUACAGAACGUUUGCGUAACUCUCACCAACCGACCAAUUAUACCGCACAGCUUGAGUAAAUAAAAGAGAUAUGUUAAACACAAAAUUCGUCGACCCAAACAAACCCGUCGCGUACUAAAACUAUCUUAAAAUUAGCAUCAACAGUUGACUAGUAGCUAAUGCUUCUUGCAACAAGAACAAAAGAAUAAUCUAGCGAAGAAAGGUUAUAGAAUUCUUUCCUCUACUGAUCCUAAUUCAGUUUUAUGCUUCACUGGAAUUAUGUUACCAAAGGAAAAAAAAUCAAAAUCGACGAAAACGUAACAUUUAGUUGCACUUGAUUUAGUUUUGCUAAAGAUCAAUCAAUAGGGUUCCAAUGAAGGAAAAAAUAGAGAGAAGGGGAGCCAGAGGACCCUAUUAAAGUGGCGGUAAUACGAUAGCAAUAUGAUGCACAAGCCAAAAAAGAAGUUCCAUUUUGUUCAUCGUUGUUUGAUGCGACGAUCCGAUACAAUGAUUUGAUUUUUAUAGAUCAACGAGCUUACAAAGAAAUAGGGAUAACCCUCGACUUAAUUCACGGAACUUUGAAUGACUUGAAUGGCAAAGAGUCUAGCUUAUAAAACCAAAUUGUGUAAAGUUUCAAAUAGUUAAUGCCAAAGAAGCGAUAUCUACUGCAACAUAAGAGAUGAAAUAGAUGCUCAAACAUAAAUAUUAGUCGAGUUCAAGUAACUCCUUAGCAAAGUCCAAUGCAUCAAGCGAACUAAUCUCAUCGCAAAACAUCAUCUGCAAUUGUAUUCACACUUUUACUAAUUCCAUAUAAGAAUUGUAAGGAGCUAGUGAAGUUGUUAGAUCACAAGGAACUCUACAUCAUGUUGAUGAAAUUGUUCCUAUUGUCGAAACGCGUACUUUUGACGAAAGAGAGCAUACAAAAUCAAAUUCCGAGAGGUCGAAAUGCAUCAAGCAUUGUUUCCUCUUCACACAUGAAGAUGUCUAUGAACAAACAAGUACUUAUCGGAAAAACAAAUGCGAAAUAGUUUGAGCAGUAGCAUUCUAAGAUGCUUUCAUACCACAAACCAUCUAAAUCGACAGCGUAAGUUUUGAAUCGCGCUUCAAAUUUUAAAUUAGGUGCUUUGUUUGAAAUUUAUGCUAUGAUGAUUUGAAGCAUACCAAACAAAUCAUGAUUAGUAAAAACAUUUGUGUCACUUCGACGCCGUUCAAACAGCGUUUAAUCUCUCGUUUCUGAUCGGAUUUCGAUGAUUCAAAGUGUGACUAUUAGCUAUGCUCUUCCUCUAUCAUUUGAGAUCAACAAAACACACCAAAGUGAUCAAAGGAUCCUUCUAAUAGGCUAAAAACCUCAUCAAACUCACACAGAAACCUUGUGCAUGACCAGUGUCGCUUCAAAUUUAAAUUUCUCUCAAAAUGUGGGACCAUUUUAAACAAAUUUGCACUCAUUUGAAAGCUAAGGUCCAGAGCUUCAACUUGAUUUAAAUUUCAUUUGAAUCCAUGGGCCACAGCUAAAGUUAUUGAGAUUUAAAUUGGAGGGAAAAGCACACUGAAACUUUGGCCAAUCCCUUUGUAGUCCUACCUAUGCUCUAUCCUGGCUCCAUCCAUUUACCCACUCCCUACCGUUGAUGCGAGUUUAGAUCGAACGGCCCAUAUUUGAAAAUAAGGAGGGAGUAAUCCGAGUGCGGGCAUGUUGACCAAUAACACAGCCCCACGUGUCGUCCGCUCUCUCACAUCGCCCACUAUUUAAAUCCAUUUCGUUCUCUUCCUCGCCCAUCAUCGUCAACCUACGCUCUCUCUCUCUCUCUCUCUCUCUUUCUUACUCUCUCUCAUAACCGAUCGCGUUCGUCUACGGGAGACUCUAACCCUAACCCUAGCUCGAUUCUAUACGCUCCCCGAUCCAUGGCGACGGAGGAGGAAGCGGCGGAGGGCGGCGCCGCCCCGGUGGAGGGGGCGGCGGAGGAGGAGCCCGCCGCCGAGAACGACGCCGCCGCGGCGGAGGGAGCCGCGGUGGGGAACGCGAAGAAGCAGCGCGCCCCGAAGGAGCCCAAGGAGAAGAAGCCGCGGAAGCCCCGGUCCCCUCCCUCCCAUCCCCCGUACAUCGAGGUGAGCAUCGCAUUGAAUGGAAUCUUAGCUUCGUUUCCUCUGUUGUGUGGUUUUGGGAUGUGAAAUCGGGAUCCGAGUAAAACCCUAACGUUUGACCCUAACCCUAACCCUAACCCUAAACGCAGAUGAUCGGGGAGGCGAUCACCGCAUUGAAGGAGAGGACGGGGUCGAGCCAGUACGCGAUCACGAAGUACAUAGAGGAGAAGCACAAGGAUCAUGUACCCCCCAACUUCAAGAAGCUCCUCCUCUUCCACCUCAAGAAGCUCACCGCGAGCGAUAAGCUCACCAAGGUCAAGAACUCCUACAAGCUCCCCCCGCUCCGCGCCCGCGCCCCCGCCUCGGCCUCCGCCCCCGCGCCCGAGCCCAAGCCCAAGCCCAAGCCCAAGUCGAAGCCCAAGCCCAAGCCAAAAGCUGCCUCGGCGAAGCCCAAGCCCAAGCCGAAAGCCGCGGCGGUGAAGCCGAAGCCCAAGCCCAAGCCGAAACCGAAAGCAGCUGCGGCUAAGCCCAAGCCCAAGCCGAAAGCGGCGGCGCCUCCGGCGAAGCCGAAGACGAGGGCGGCCACGAGGAAGACGAAGGCCAAGUAGUAGUAAGAGUCGUAGCAUUUUGUUUUUGUUUUUGUUUUGUUUUAUUUUUAUUUUUAAUUGUUUUCUCAUCUUUUUUUUUCUUUUCACCCUUUUUUUUUUUAAUUUUGUUUUUGAGGUAGUGGCAGUGUUUGUAAAUUGGAUAUUGCGAUAGGGGUAUGUUUGGACGGAAUUUGUGUUGUUUUCUUCAGCAGGAGUAUUUGCUAUUAUUAGCUUUAAAGAGUUAUCACACCUAUUCCCAUCUUUAAUUAAUUUCAUAUUUUGUGAGUUUGUGAUAUUUCUAUUUUAUUUGUUUGUUUUUAUUCUAAAUAAUGUUCACGUGCUACAGCGUUCCCUGAUUGGGGGAAGCAGCUAUUAGUGCUAAUAAAUAAUGUGAUAAUAAUAAUAAUAGGUAUUUAGGUGCGUAGUUUUUGCAUGUGGUGGUGCUUGAGAAUUUUAUUAAAUUUAUCAAAAAUUAAUUAGUUAUGAUUUAUAAACAAUGUAUAUUUAUGAAAUUUGAUUAGAUUUAAACAUAAAAUUAGAAAUUAAAAAAUAGUUUAGUCUAGUCUUAAAUUAAUAGAUGAAAUACAGGAUUUUAGAGAAGCCCGUAGUUGGAGAAAUGAUUUAUUUGAUUGAUUAGGAAUGAUAUGUUACUAAUAUAACCGGUGUAUCUAUCUUUAUCUUUAUGCAUGUUUACGGACUAUGUUAAGUUUGUUUGAGUGGGUGUAAGUUAAGGAAGGUACGACUCUGACUAGUCACGUAUCGUUCCUAUGGUGUAUUAGAUAGAUGGGUAUUUGAUCAAAGGAUGCUUGCUAAGGUUGAGAUAUGGCCGAUAUAUGCCGUAGGAAUGUCAUUGUCAGGUGACUGACUAGAAGUGGCUGCUAAAUAAAUCAACGGUGUUUCAAAGGAAAGCUCUGCUGUUCUGUCUCCUCGCGCACAAUGCUCUAAUAAGCCGCAACCUAUUUUUACGCUGCCAUCUAACAAAACAGUUUCCAACUUGUUCGCAGGCUGAGGCUGCUUGACCAGCUACAAUCGACAAAAUUUGAAUGUAGAGUUUCUCCUCUUAAGGGGGAAAAAUUUUAGAAUGGUAUGUCAGUGACGUGGUGCGUAACAAAUCAAUCAAAAAUUUUCUUUUAAAAAUAUAUGUUUCAUUAUGAUUAUAAAAAAAAUAUUUUUAUUGUACUUUUGUUUGAAAAGAAGAAAGGUGAUUGGCUUGUUAUUGAUAAUGUGGUGCAAGUGUGAUAAUAUAAAAUUUCUCCUUAAGAAGGGGCUUGCUUAGAUUUAGUAUUUAUAAAUGCAAUAUAUAUAUAUAUAUAUAUAUAUAGAGUCCGGCUACUAUACUCUUAUGAGUACGAUCGUCCUCGUACUUAUAAGUCGUUUUCAAUAAUAAAGCUUCCAAUUCGACGAUUCAUAUCGUUAAACAUUAUCUAGAAUAUUUAAAACUUCUAGAAAUCAAAUUUUAUAAAUUUUUGACAUCAUUUAUCUUAUAAUCAAAAGGUCACAAAAUUGACAAUUUUUAACGGUCGGUAUGGCAUACUUGGUAGUUUAAUGGUGUAAAAAAAUCGGAAUCGGUUGAAUUUUUGAUAGAAAAUUCUAUUCACUACUUAGAUAAAAUCAAUAACUUCGACCUUAAAUUGAAAGAUCUAAUCAUCUAUUUUUAGGACGUUGUUUGAUUUCGACUGUUCAUUUUAUACCCACUUGAUGAACUUUAUUAUAAUUUUAAAAAAUUAUGAAAUUUAUUGUUUAGAAGUUUCAAAUACUCUAGAUCACAUUUAAUGAAGUGGAUCGUCGAUUCGAAAGUUUUAUCAUCGAAAAUAACUUAUAAGCAAAAAGAGCGUUUUACUAUUAAUAGUAUUCCAACCUAAUUCUAUAUAUAUAUAUAUAGAGAGAGAGAGAGAGAGAGAGAGAGAGAGAGAGAUGUAAUUAAAAAUACCCACCUUAUUUAGUUGCAUGUGAUAUAAAACGCUAUAGUUAUAAAUAAAUUGUUUAACUGCAUAUAGUUGAGAAUUAUAGAUUACUCCCAAUAGAAAUUAAAACGAUAUUUUCUAUUUAAGAGAUGAGUAGAAAGGAUAAACUUAUUUUUUGUUUGAACAUGUUCUUUUCAACUACUACUACAAUUAAAAUUGCAAGUAAUUUGUGCAUGAUUCUAGCUGCUGUAAUUAAAUCUUAUUGAGUGCCUCUUAUUAAGGUAGCUAAAUUCAAAGCACUAAAUCAAAGUUUCAGCUUUUAGGGUUCGAGAGUUUAACUUAGCUUGGUGUCGUACUAGAAACUCCAGACUUUCUUAUUUAAGAAAUGAAAAGUAGAAUCAAAAGCAGAAACCAAACAAGUAACAGAAGAGUAGCGUAUUAAGCAAUAGCAACACAAACAGGGAGACUACUGGCUUCGAAAACAACACCAAUGGCUCAAUCAAAUUGUAUUUUACAGAAACAUUCCAUCAUAUAUCUUCUUUACUCCUUGUGACUCCCACAAUUCAAAUUCUACCCCCCCCCCUAGCUUCUUCCUCUGUAUUGGAGGAACCUUGUAGAAGAAUUGCACUUGAAAGUUUUUAUUCUGUAUUAAUUCACAACAAAAGGGAGACGAAAAAAAGAGGAAGAAGAAAAGAAACGGAAUAAAACGCCGCCUCUUUCGUCCCACAAUAUCGAAAAUUCUGACACACUGGAGAGAAAAUCAAUAUGUAAAAAGUGAGUUGAUGAAUAAGACAACAAUUUAAUUAAAGUAUAUCUCUAGUCCUCAAAACCUAGUAACUAGAUUCAGUUUGGCCUCCAAACAUUUCAGUAAUUAUAUUCUAGUCCCCUUUGAAAUAGGCUCAUUUUGAAAUGGGAUCCUCAUAACUGCUGUAAUUUUGAGUGAGAACACCACAACAUGCAAUUAUCCAAUUUUAGUUAUUUCACUAAAUUCAAUUGAAAAUUUGUUAAGUUAGCUGUUUCAUUAGCUAAGAAUCAGUAAAAUCUUGUUACUAAAAAUUCACGGGUGUAUCAACUGAAAAAUUGUUGAGAACAGUUAAAUUUAACACAUGCACCAUGCACCGCUAAAUUUAACAAAAUCUCUAAUUUGAUGAAAAUAACUUAAAAGAAAGAAAGGGAUGCCUAAUUUUUUUUUUUUUUAAAAAAAAAACUUGAGUGGUCAAUUUCAAAAUUGCUCACUGUUGAGGGGGCCUCCCAACAUUUUUACCUUUUGUUAUAAUCUACAUAAUCAUCAUCAAAAUUCCACACAAACAGACUUUGGACUAGCUAUAUAGUAAUUGUGGGAUUUCGAUCCGAUCCAGUUUUAUCGAGAACUAUUAAGAAAACAGCAAAGAUGCAAAUAGAAUGGUUGGUGGCGGUCGGUGGCCAAACUAUAACUGCUUAGAAAGGUCAGGGACUUGUAAUGGAACUUAUAAUACGGUUGAAGAGAUUGAGGAAGGCAUACCACUGUAUAACUAUUGAUUUGUUUUUGCCCAAAAAUUGCUUUUUCCUACUGUUGAAGAGAUAUGACCAGCUAUGAAUUUUUCAGCCGACGACCCCUUCUCGCGAACAAACUUUACAGACUCCGACAGUCUAUUGAGAAGGUUCACUAGAGCGAUCACUUCAUUUCGCUGCAGCUGUAACUGAAAAAUCACCAACAAGAGUGUAUUACGACUUACGCAAUGAGUUAUUAAAGGAAAAUUAUGAAAAGAAUAGGAGAUUUCAGUAAUAUCAAUACUCUUGAGUAGUAUCAAUACUAACUUUAAAUAUGUUGACGGACAUACACCCUGCAAAGUCUCGAUUUCCUUAUAUACCCUUCAAAUACUUAAUUUCUUACUUAUCUACUCUUGCGCUUAGUAAAAUGUUCUUAUUUGAAAAGAAAUCAUUUUGUACGAAACAAAAUUCUCAUUAAUUGGAUGACACUCAAUUUCUCAAUUUAAAAUAUUCAUAUGUUUGGAAGAAAUUUCGAUAUUGAGUUGUAUAUAUGAAAAUUCAGCUUUCAUAGGUUUAUAAGGGCAAACAAAGAUGAGAAAACAUACAGGUUGAUACAAGGGGUGCUGUUCCUCGACAGAGAAAAGAAUCUUCAAUGCAGUCCCUAGUCCUAGAACUUGAAGCUUUCCCCAAAGGCGGCACUUUUCACAUCCAACACAAUCCAUCAGUGCACUACAAUAGGCAUAUGGAAUUGGUCAUUUCAACUUUUCCUAUGCAUCAGAACUUAGAAGAGAUUUUUUUUAAUAUAUAUAUAUAUAUAUAUAUAUAUAUAUACCCAUGCAAAGUUAUCAAUUCUACACGGAUAUCCCAGAAAAAUAUGAAUUUUCAUAAGAUAAAUCCAUAUCUGUAACUUUGUACUUGCAAAACUUCCCCUCUUUAAAAAAUAUUUGGUAAUACAAAACUAACUUCUGGAUGACUACCUAUAUUAAGGUGAAGAAUUUUUUUUUUUCCCUUUUUAAAGCAUUUUUGAGCAGUACAUAUGAAAAUUCAGAUUCUAUGGGGGCAUACUUCAAUAGAAAAUAUUGUAGACUUCUAUGUGUAGAAGAACCCUGAAAUCGUCGAUAUUGCAAAUAUAAACCUGAUGUUUCUGAACUGCUUCUGGAUCUGUUGCUUCAGCUCAGGCCCAUUUUCACCUUGCCAAAGCUUGGCUUCAUCAAAUGGUAGUGGGCAAGUAGCCUGCAGCUUAGGAUUGUAGAGGAGCUGCUUCACUAGAGAUUGUGUUUUCAGGUCCUCUUGAGGGUUCUCAGUGUUGUACUCAGCCUGCUCUAAAUAAUCUGCAGCCUGAAACCAAUCCAGGAGAACUACUAUUUAAGUUUCAAGACUAAGGGGACUUCUGUAUGCAUAAGACUGAAACACAUGUAUUUGGGUGCAUAUCCCUCAAAAUUUGCAAGUUGAUCAGCUCAUAUUUCUGUGUAGAUCUCUUUCACCUGAGAUUUUCACAAGCUGAAAAGAUGGAUUCCUAUGCUAAAAAAGAGACCAUUGGCUGAAAGUUUCAGGAGGAAUCAUAAUUUCAACUCAAAACAAAUACAAGCUCUCAAUCAAUAGGGUGAACGAGCAAACAUGAGCUAUUUCUAAUUUUUGAAGAGCAUGCAUGCCAAUAUGGGCUAUAUUAUCUAUAUAUGACGUGUUAGACACCAAUUGCAAAUUUUGAGGGUGAUACAAACAAACAUACCCAGACUAAGACUCUAGGAGUAGUACUUGCUAGUGUUAAUAUCUAUGAGGAAUUGAAUUACAGGAAGAAAAAGCAGACAUUAUGUCAAUGAGUAGCAUGUAAACAUUAAAUUUGUAUCAUAUAAGAACUGGUUACCUUUGUCACUGCUCGAAGAACAAAUAGGUAUGUGAAAUACAGAUUUCUAACAUGAUCUGGAUACUUCAAAACACGAUCAUACAACAAUCCAAGAUUGUGGCCCCACUGAAAUGAUUACAAGAUAGAUUAGAAAAUAAUGUGCUAUAAAAAGAAUCAAUGCUGGUAACCGCGCAUUAAAGUGUGAGAUGAAAAUACCAAGUUAGUAGAUUCAUCAAGGAGAUAAUCAGCAGCUAUGUGUACUGAAAUUGAGGAAUGCAGGCCUGAGAUCAACUUAUACAACACCUUCUUCUCCUGGCAAAGCUCUUCUGAAGGAUCUGGAGAAGACAGAGUCAAAAGAAACAAAAAAAGGUUAGGGCAUUCAAACAAAUAUGAUUCUCUACAAUUGUAACAGCAUCUAUAUGAGGUUAUAAUUCCAUAAAAACACGACAAUUGGCAAUUUACCGAGUUUGCCCUUACAAACUCAAGAUUUGUUGAUGUAAUUUUAACUAUUGUACCAAGUAGACUUACAAAGACAAGUAAUUUUAACUAUUGUACCAAGUAGAGUUAGAAUUUUGCCAUAAAUAUACAAUGAAAACUAGGAACUGUACAAGAAAUCGACUAACAUUUUGGACAAUUUUCUUUGUAAAUAGCAUCCCAUAUUCUCCUAGCUGAUGCACCAAUAUACCCAGUAAAACGCUCAGGGUUUAGCUGGAGGUUCACAUAAGUCAUCUCAGCUGCAAAAGAAAAACAACUAUCAAAUGUCAAUCCACCAAAAAAGAAAAAAGGAGUAAACGAGUAAUGUUAUAGGUAUAUAGCCAAGUGCACCCUAACAUGUAGUUGAUGAGUCACAUGGCAGCUAGCCAAUUAGAUGCCACAUUGAAGUCUGACCCAUCAGCUACAUCUAGGUACACUCCGAGAGAAUCAUAGAAUUACGCUCCAAAAUAUAAUCAUAUUGCAAAAAGGACCAAAUAGCACAUAGCUAACUAAAAGCAGUACCAUUGUCAGUUUCAUCAUCAUAUGUCCAUGGAUUGUCGAUUUCAAUCCACCCUUUGAAUACUUUACUAUCAAUUGUUCUAUCCACGGUAGCCUGGGGUUUUCCUUCUUGGCAAAUCAUAUCAUCAGUGGAAAGACCAUUAUACGGUUUUUUAAAAGGCUCCGGAAAUUCAUUUUCAGGGCACUCGCAGACAGUGCAAUCCCUUAGACGGCACAUUCCAUCAUCGGGCCAGAAUGGACAGUCGCACCAUAGCUUAACCUAUCAAACAACAAAGAGAAAACACAAUUAAAAAACCGAACACUUAGAAAUUUUUAAUUACAGAAUCUGCUUUGUUUCUUUUCCUCAGAUGGUUGGUAACAGUCCACCAAACUCCCCAUCCAAUGUGGAUGGUUGUUUUUCCCAAAAAGAUAAAUGAUGUCUCCGAGAUUACAAACAAGUUUUGUACAUAUAAUAUGUACAAUACAGUAGAAUCUGGUAUCACAUUUAGCAAAUAUCCAUUGAGGUUCAGGAGAAUCAGGACCAAGGUGUGAUUGUGCAUUUUGAUCCCAAUUGGAUAAAAAUAUAUACUAUCCUUAUGCCUCUUUUAUGUCAUAGGGGGAGAGACCAUAUGAAGGCAUAAGCCAUGAAAACUAAUCGUGACUAGGAGGGACGGGUUAAGGUUACAAGGUAAUAUCUUUGAUAAUUUUGUGCACUAUAUCUUCUCAUGCCUUGCUCUUAGAAACUGCUAAACUCCAUGACAUUUUUUAGAAGUACUAGCAACACUAGAAUCUAAAUGAUCGCUCUAUAACUUUUUAUUGUGUACAGAACAAGGAUGCUUCAAGAAAUAGAAAUUGUCCAGUCUCUAAUUAUUGAUAACAAACUAUUUGUUUAAUCUUGCUGGCGGCACAAUUAGACAUUAUUUGAACCUACAUUGAGCAUACAAAAAAGAUGGAUGCUUGAUUUUGCAAAGUCAAUUAAAUAUCUCAAUUUAAAGAGUUUGAGUCAAGAGUUGUUGAACUAGCUAAUUAACUGUUGUCAAGACAAGAAAAAAAACAUCUUGCUUCCUACAUCACAUCGAGCAAGAUAUGAAAGAGGCAACUGGUUUGAAUUUUGAUAAGAAGUAAAAAGUAGACAACUAGGAUCAAAUAUACACUCAAUAGGCCAAAAGCAGAAGCUCCAACAUAAAUCUAUACUUCUAGCUUUAGACCGAAGUUAAUUGCAGGAUUUCUAAUGAAGAAGCUGUUAGGGUUUCUUUUAGCAGCUGUUUUCAUAUAGCAUUUCUGCAGAAGUUCUGGCACGGCCAACUGACCCUAGCACAAUAAAUUAUCUAAAUUUCCCUAAAAUUACUCAUUUUAACUUUUAAUCUAUCCCUCGUAAACUCUUUUGAGACCACAUCCAUCUACCUCAGUACAAACCAGAAACUGUAACCGUUACAAUCACCAAAUAGCAGUUGGAAUCGGACAACCAAAAAUUCCUUCAAAUUUUACCUUAAAGUACCGAAAGAAAGGCGUGGCGACGAGCUCCUGCAGAAUCGGAUGCAACACUUCCUCGUUGAUCGAAUCCACCGUCUCGUAAUCGCAGCAACAGUCCUCCACCAUUCCCGUGUACCUCCUCGAAUCCUCUCCCUUCUUAACCUAAUCUUCCCCCAAAAGUCAAACACACAUCGAAUAACAUACUUCAAACGCAUCCAAUUCCAUUCGGAACUAGGGAUUAGGCGAUCAUCGCAAUUAGAUUGGGGGGUUGGUGGGUGAUCUUACGGGGCAUUCGCAGAUCCCGGGGAUGGAGAGCCUGGGGAAGCUCCUGGAGCUCGCGGCGGUGGCGAGGAGGAGGGCGACCACCGCCCCCGCUGCCGCCGCCGCCCAAAACCAUCGCCGCCGCCGCCUGUCGCCGCCGCCGCCGCCGCCGCCGCCGCGGUGCUCUGCCUCCGCCAUCGGGGAUCAGAGCCCUAGGUUUCCCCUCCUCCCCCGCGAGAUCGAGAUCAUAUAGAACCGGGAUGNUAGAACCGGGUUGGGGGGGGGUUAGGGUUUUGGAGACGUUUCACUUCGAGGUCGACGAUGCGAAGAGGGAGGGGUUGGGGGUUGGAAAAUGGCGGUUCCGAGAACGACGAGUUUCAACUUUUAAUCACGACGCGUAAUAAAUCGCUUGUUGAGUCUUUCAAUAGAGGGACACGGUGGUAACCGUUACAUAUCACGGGUGUCACUAUGACACGCGGGGCCCACAUGUCAGAGUAGUGGACGUCACCGACCUGUGACGUGGCAGCUUUCCGCGAUGGCAUAACCUGAUUGGUUGGAUGACGUUGCAGCUUGGAUAUAGUUGACCAAAUCUACAUGGCUUGACUUUGUUGUCUUUAUUUAUUUCUCCUUUUGAAAAAGGCUUUUAUUGGAACAUUAUCGAGCGAGAAAUAUUUAUUUAUUUAUUUAUUUUGGUAUAUUGGGAGUAAUUAAAAUUUAAAAAACAUUUUUUUUUUCGAUAUA
rnacentral:lncRNA from 1 species